UAUUUUUUAAAAUUAUGAUGAAAACAGCUCACCCAAACUUGCCAAAGAUACUUACAUAUAUCAAUGAUAGAUAAUAGGGUGACAAUAAGGACUUUUAAUUUUCCUUCCUCAACCUUCUAUACCAAGCUUCUCUGAAUGGCUAGGAAUAACCUUCAAGAGAAAAAUACCCAACAAGAUGACAGAUUUUAGUUUCCUCACACCCUGCCCAAGUAAGAGGUAGGGAGGACAGCAAGCGAUCAACUCAUCUGCCAGGUUAUGCAGCCAGAGCCCUGUCUUGCCUUUAACAAGUGACUCUCAUGUAAGGUUUUGGCACCAAGAUUCAUCAUUAGACCGGCUGGCGUUUCCUGUGGGUGCCCCUCUUGCCUCUACCGCUGGCCAGCAAUGAUUUCAAAUUUCAGAAGUUGGGAGGGGAGAGAAAUGUACCCCAACUCCUUCAGGGACUUGUGUGUGUCUUUCCCAGAUACAUGCCCUUUACCCUUCUUUCCAUGUUCUCUCCCCUUGUUGGGUUAUAUAUAGGAUGGCAAUCAGGAACCCAACGAAGGAGAAGCUAACGGCUUGAACUAUCUUCCUCACACAUCCUACAGACUGGCAGCUGCGAGUCACACCUGGAUGCCACAACUAGCACUGCCUCUCGCUCCCCUUCUCUCCCUCCCUCCCUCCCCUCUUCUCCCUGGGUCACGUUUGCUGUUGCUACAGGGAGGGAGGGGUGAGAAGACCCCAGGAUGCCCACAGCCCGAGGCAGAGGCAUCCAAAAAGCAGCAGAAAGUUCCACCAACGUCUCAGCGUUGUAGGCGCUGGCAAGAAAGGGCAAAGGAAAGGAUUCCCCCACCCACCAAAGCACGCACGUAAGGGUCUAGAAGAGUUACUCUGCACUCCGGGUAAUGCAAGCAGUUAAGGAGCGUGGGUGGAAAAGCAGAAGCCCUCCGGGCGCACGGAGCCACGGCUACCCUUUCCAGGGCUGUGGGGGCUUCCUCGUCUUUCCCGCGCCCACGGGGAGGGAAAGCAGGAUGCAGCUGGGCGCCGUUACCCGCGGGAGCGCAGCGAGUCCCAGUCCCGUCCCAUGCCGAGGCACCCAGUCUUCUCCAGUCCCUUCCUUCCCAGGCUCGGAGCCCCAACUCACCGCCUCUCACUCCGAUCGCCAGGCACCAUGGCUCCUCCCUUUACCCUGCUUUCAUCCCUGGACAGGAAGGAAUGUGAUACAUGCUGUAUUGAGAGGCACCCUUGUACAGUGGAGAGAGGAACCAGAAGAACUGGGGUCCGGUCCAGGUUUUACUAUGUACUAAUUGUGUGACUUUGGACAAAUAACUUAACAUUAUUGACCCUUUCCUCAUCCAUAAAAUGGGGAUAAUACCAUUCCUACCACCUACUUCACAGAUUGUUGGAAAGUUUAGUAAUGCAAAUGGGAGUUAUUUUUGCUGACACUUUGGGAAUCAUUUUGUGAACACUUGACUUCGUGUCUUUAUUAAAAGUGAGGACUUCUGUUCAUAGGGGGUUCAGUCCAUAGAUUAGUGGGUAGUAAUAGAUAUUUCUCCCAAAACGGCAUCAACAAAACAUUUUUAAAAACACAUGGAAGAAAACCAAGAGAAGCACAGGAGACACAAAUAGAAAAAUUUUGUUAUUGCCUGUAAAAUUUGAUAUAUACAUAUCUUUA
rnacentral:lncRNA from 1 species